AUGUUAAAUGUAAUAUUUUUCUUCCGAUUCAAUGCACAGACCCUUUUUGCUAGUGCAAUACGUGUCUCACAAACCCUACUUUGUCACUGGGCGAAAUCACGCGAGAUUGAACCCAAAGCUAAGCACCUCUCCCUUUGCAAGAAAUACCAAUCUAGUUGGCCAAAACAAAUCAAUAAUUCGAAGAGAAAUACAAAGACACCAAAUCGUGCAUAUAAGAAUUCAGAGGAGAUUCAAAUAAUAUUCAUAGUUAGGCUGGUCAUAAAUCCACAAUUCAUUGAAUCUCGACAAACACACCGCAAUUACAUCGGAUAG
rnacentral:rRNA from 1 species